rnacentral:rRNA from 1 species
CACUCCUGCGGGAGGCAGCAGUGGGGAAUUUUGGACAAUGGGCGAAAGCCUGAUCCAGCCAUGCCGCGUGCAGGAUGAAGGCCUUCGGGUUGUAAACUGCUUUUGUACGGAACGAAACGGCCUUUUCUAAUAAAGAGGGCUAAUGACGGUACCGUAAGAAUAAGCACCGGCUAACUACGUGCCAGCAGCCGCGGUAAUACGUAGGGUGCAAGCGUUAAUCGGAAUUACGGGGCGUAAAGCGUGCGCAGGCGGUUAUGUAAGACAGUUGUGAAAUCCCCGGGCUCAACCUGGGAACUGCAUCUGUGACUGCAUAGCUAGAGUACGGUAGAGGGGGAUGGAAUUCCGCGUGUAGCAGUGAAAUGCGUAGAUAUGCGGAGGAACACCGAUGGCGAAGGCAAUCCCCUGGACCUGUACUGACGCUCAUGCACGAAAGCGUGGGGAGCAAACAGGAUUAGAAACCCUUGUAGUCCCAUGA